rnacentral:rRNA from 1 species
GACGAACGCUGGCGGCGUGCUUAACACAUGCGAGUCGAACGGAAAGGCCCUGCUUUUGUGGGGUGCUCGAGUGGCGAACGGGUGAGUAACACGUGAGUAACCUGCCCUUGACUUUGGGAUAACUUCAGGAAACUGGGGCUAAUACCGGAUAGGAGCUCCUGCUGCAUGGUGGGGGUUGGAAAGUUUCGGCGGUUGGGGAUGGACUCGCGGCUUAUCAGCUUGUUGGUGGGGUAGUGGCUUACCAAGGCUUUGACGGGUAGCCGGCCUGAGAGGGUGACCGGCCACAUUGGGACUGAGAUACGGCCCAGACUCCUACGGGAGGCAGCAGUGGGGAAUAUUGCACAAUGGGCGGAAGCAUGAUGCAGCAACGCCGCGUGCGGGAUGACGGCCUUCGGGUUGUAAACCGCUUUCGCCUGUGACGAAGCGUGAGUGACGGUAAUGGGUAAAGAAGCACCGGCUAACUACGUG